rnacentral:piRNA from 1 species
UUCCUGUCUUUUGGAACUCUCAGUCUGCCU